rnacentral:rRNA from 1 species
GACGAACGCUGGCGGCGUGCUUAACACAUGCAAGUCGAACGGAAAGGCCCCUUUGGGGGUACUCGAGUGGCGAACGGGUGAGUAACACGUGAGUAACCUGCCCUUGACUUCGGGAUAACUUCAGGAAACUGGGGCUAAUACCGGAUAGGAAUCCUUGCUGCAUGGUGGGGGUUGGAAAGCUUCGGCGGUUUUGGAUGGACUCGCGGCUUAUCAGCUUGUUGGGGGGGUAGUGGCUUACCAAGGCUUUGACGGGUAGCCGGCCUGAGAGGGCGACCGGCCACAUUGGGACUGAGAUACGGCCCAGACUCCUACGGGAGGCAGCAGUGGGGAAUAUUGCACAAUGGGCGGAAGCCUGAUGCAGCAACGCCGCGUGCGGGAUGACGGCCUUCGGGUUGUAAACCGCUUUCAGCAGGGGCGAAGCUUGUGGUGACGGUACCUGCAGAAGAAGCACCGGCUAACUACGUG